UACAGAGGUGGCAAGCGUUGUUCGGAAUUACUGGGCGUAAAGGGCGCGUAGGCGGCCCGUCAAGUCCCGUGUGAAAGCCCCCGGCUCAACCGGGGAACGGCGCGGGAAACUAGCAGGCUUGAGUUCGGGAGAGGGAAGCGGAAUUCCCGGUGUAGUGGUGAAAUGCGUAGAGAUCGGGAGGAACAUCUGUGGCGAAGGCGGCCACCUGGGCCGACCCUGACGCUGAGGCGCGAAGGCGUGGGGAGCGAACGGG
rnacentral:rRNA from 1 species